rnacentral:rRNA from 1 species
GAAGCAACGCGAAGAACCUUACCAGGUCUUGACAUCCCAUUGACCACUGUAGAGAUACAGUUUUCCCUUCGGGGACAACGGUGACAGGUGGUGCAUGGUUGUCGUCAGCUCGUGUCGUGAGAUGUUGGGUUAAGUCCCGCAACGAGCGCAACCCUUGUUCUUAGUUGCCAUCAUUCAGUUGGGCACUCUAAGGAGACUGCCGGUGACAAACCGGAGGAAGGUGGGGAUGACGUCAAAUCAUCAUGCCCCUUAUGACCUGGGCUACACACGUGCUACAAUGGACGGUACAAACGGUCGCCAACCCGCGAGGGGGAGCUAAUCCGAUAAAACCGUUCUCAGUUCGGAUUGUAGGCUGCAACUCGCCUACAUGAAGCCGGAAUCGCUAGUAAUCGCGGAUCAGCAUGCCGCGGUGAAUACGUUCCCGGGCCUUGUACACACCGCCCGUCACACCACGAGAGUUUGUAACACCCGAAGUCGGUGGGGUAACCUUUUGGAGCCAGCCGCCGAAGGUGGG